rnacentral:lncRNA from 1 species
ACGGCGCCGGAGAGAUGGCGGAGUUGGACAUCGGGCAGCACUGCCAGGUGGAGCAUUGCCGGCAGCGAGAUUUUCUUCCAUUUGUGUGUGAUGAUUGUUCAGGAAUAUUUUGGUGACUGUAAUCAAUGAGAGACUGAAGACAGAUCAACAUACAUCUUACCCAUGCUCUUUCAAAGACUGUGCUGAGAGAGAACUUGUGGCAGUUAUAUGUCCUUAUUGUGAGAAGAAUUUUUGCCUGAGACACCGUCAUCAGUCAGAUCAUGAGUGUGAAAAACUGGAAAUCCCAAAGCCUCGAAUGGCUGCCACUCAGAAACUUGUUAAAGACAUUAUUGGUAAGUAUCUAGAAAGCGUGUUUUGUUGCUUUCCUAGUUCCAGAGCUCCUGCUUCUUAUAUCUACUUUCCAAUUAUGGGAGGCAUCAUUAAUAACCCCAGUGGUAUUCGUAUUAACUUGUAUUUUGAUGAUAUUCUUGUGACAGUAUUUCUUAUGAGGUCUACCUGACCGAUGGAAAUUUGGAAAUUAUUUGGAGGUACUCCACUGUAAGUACUUAUCUCUUUUGCUGAGCCACUUAGAUUAGCUAGUUAACCAUUGGGCUAGAAAUGGUAUUCAUGAGAUUGAAGUAGUCAGCUGCUUUCUCUACAGAUUAAACUCUAAGCCUAGUCAGCUGUUCUGUGAAUGCUGCUGAUAAUAAGAGAUACCAGGAAUGAAUGUAUCUGUGACUUAAAUCAGUCUGCCUGCCAGUAUGUUAGCUCAGAAUUUUUAUUCCAUAUUAAGGAUAGUACCUUUAUUACAAUCUUGCAUAACCAAAUCUUA